rnacentral:rRNA from 1 species
GACGAACGCUGGCGGCGUGCCUAAUACAUGCAAGUCGAGCGAAUAGGCGGAUGGGUGAGUAACGCGUGGGUAACCUGCACUUAAGCCUGGGAUAACAUUUGGAAACAGAUGCUAAUACCGGGUAAUUAAGGAGGGACCGUCGAUGCAUUAGCUAGUUGGUAAGGUAACGGCUUACAAAGGCGAUGAUGCAUAGCCGAGUUGAGAGAAUGAUCGGCCACAUGGGGACUGAGACACGGCCCAAACUCCUACGGGAGGCAGCAGUAGGGAAUCUUCCACAAUGGACGAAAGUCUGAUGGAGCAACGCCGCGUGAGUGAAGAAGGUUUUCGGAUCGUAAAGCUCUGUUGUUGGUGAAGCGGUAAUCAACCAGAAAGUCACGGCUAACUACGUGCCAGCAGCCGCGGUAAUAC